UCCUUCUUCCGUUUCUUAUUGCCUCGCCACCGCCGUCGCCGCCACCGCCACCGCCAACGCCGCCGACCCGGGCCAGCGCGGUCUUCCGCAGAGCACAGACACGCACGCACGCAACAAACUCCGCCCACGGCGGGGCGCGAACACCUUCCGCCGCCGGCCCCGUCCUCUUUCGCGGCCAACGGCGGUAAACCAAAGCUCCGCGGCGGCCGCAACCUCCGACCGACGAACCGGCCGCGAAAAAAAAACGCUUUUUUAACAGUCAGUCGCGCCGGUCCGCCCGUCCCCGACGACACGCACACCGCAGCGGCCGCACCACCGUCGUCGUUGACGUCUUCGUAGUAUUCGCGGUUUUUUUUCCCGUCUCGUCGCGUGAUUAUUUCGUUUCCGUCUCGUCACCGAACAUGCACCUGUCGGUUCCAAUGAGGAACCGCGACGGUUUCCUCAAGGCCGACGUGCUGGCAGAAAGGACGCUGGACAGUCUCCUGGCUGAACACCCCGGCGAACUGGUCCGCACCGGUUGCCCGCACGUUGUGUGCACCGUGCUGCCUACUCAUUGGCGUUCCAACAAGACGCUGCCGGUUGCCUUCAAGGUGGUGGCGCUCGGUGAGGUGCCGGACGGCACGCCGGUCACCAUACGCGCCGGCAACGACGAAAACUUUUGCGCGGAACUGCGGAACUGCACAGCUCUGAUGAAGAACCAGGUGGCCAAGUUCAACGAUUUGCGGUUCGUCGGUCGAUCAGGUCGAGGAAAAAGUUUUACGCUGACUAUAAUGUUGAAUUCGUGUCCACCGCAAGUAGCCACUUAUUCCAAAGCAAUCAAAGUCACAGUGGACGGUCCCAGAGAGCCGAGGUCGAAAACCAGCCUAUUAUUUAACUCGUUUGCAGGAAACCAAGGGUUCCAUCCCUUCCACUUUGGACCUAGGCCUUUCCCGUUUGGUACGCCACUGGAUCCCAAUAGAAUUGCAGAAUUGCCGUUAAAAUUAUCAGGUCUUGCCCACUCUUGGGGCACAUCGUUUUCCAGAGCUUUACCGUCGACCGCAUACCCCCCUUAUUUGGCUAACAACUGCGGUCCGCCGACUUUUCAACACUCGAACUUCACCAACAUUUUUCCGUACAACGGAACGACCACUGAAGUGAUUCAACAUCAGACGAUUAACACUGGCACAGAUGGCAAUAACAGCAGCAGCAGGACCGCGACGGAACCGUUGGGACCGAUCAGCGUCAACGUGAGCGUGGAUAGCGCGACGACCAGAAGCCACAGGACCGGGGUCCGGGGUCACAGGGGCUUAUUGACCACGGUGUCUGGGAGCGGAGCGCACAAGCGGCAUCACCAUCAUCACCACCAUCACCACAAGCGACAUCGGGACAACCGGUCCGAGAAGAAUGCAGCGGUGGCGGUUGCCGCGGACCGUUUAUCACCGACGGCCAUUGCGGCGUCGGCAGCCACAGCUAUAACUCACAACGACAACAACAACAACAACGGAGGUAGCGGUGCCGACGAACACGACAAGAGUAAACGACGUGCGACCGACGAUGACCAUCGCGUUCGGCGCGCGGCCAGGACGCCUCCAUCGCCGCCGCCGCCUCCGUCAACUCUACGACCGCCUCCGCCCGCACAGCCCGUGGCUCAGCUACCGCCGCAUAUUAUGGCCGCGGCCGCAGCCACCGUGUCGCCGCGAUCGCUCCACCCGUCCGCGUCCGCGCCCGCGCCGCCAGUCACGCAACCUGUUCCGCUCGUGGCGCCAUCGCUGUUCAGCCUGUUCCUGAACGCACCACUCCUGCAACCUCACACGCAGUGGCUGUACUCUCAGCUGUACCCCAAUCCGUAUCUGAGCCACAUACGUAACACGAUGAUAUUCGACAACGAGUCGACGGCCGCUGCCGUGGCCGCGGCCGCGGCGCAGAAGGCCGCAGGCGGUACCAUCGGUGGCGUCGUCGACGACGGCGACGGGUCGGCUGCCGAGAACGAAUCUCCCAAAAAGUCACCCGCUGACGAUGUAGAAGCGGAGGUCGGCGGUGGCGGUGCGGACGACGAAGAUGACCGCGACGGAGCAGACACUUCGCCGGCAGUCUCACCAAAGACCACCGCCAAACAGACGGAUGUCUGGCGGCCGUAUUGAUACGUCCAGUCUGGCCCCUUAGUGAUAUCAAUGACGACGACGACGAUGAUUAUGUACAUUGUGAUGCUGAAGUAAUCGUGCACGCAUCGCCGUCUCCGAGCAAACUAUCACCACAGUCACCACCGCUACUACCUUAUGCUGUUUAAGUACCUAACCUAUAACCGUAUUCCCGACAUAGCCACGACGAGUCAAUUACUACCAUUUGAUGUAAUUAUAUAUUAUAUGUUGGGCCACCCUAUUAUUAUAGACUUUAGGUGUUAUAAAAUAAAUCAUAAUAUACCUAUUGUGUAAAAAAAUAUAAUGUUAAAUAUUGUAUGUUUGUAUAGGUACAAUAACCUGCUCCUGUACCUGCGCAUCCAUUGUAACCUGGUAGUAGGUCAUGAUAAUGUUCCACUUACUACCGUUUUAUUAUUGUUUACUUUUUUUUGUCAACUGUGUUUUUUAAGUUUCAGUCUUAAGUGUACGAUAUUAUUAUAAAUUAUUAUUAUACGAAUAAAGAAAACAAUUAUUUGGUUGUUA